AGACACUACUGCUCUACCAAUUUUAAUUUUUUAGAAUAGAAUAGAAUAGAAUUUUGGCCCUGCGAGACAAAAAUGCAGAUCAGGCUAUUUAGCUCUGUAUCCACAAGGGCGCGCAACAAACUAAGAAACUAUCAGUUAAUACAUAAAACAGUCUAAAACACUCUCAAACAUAUUUGAUCGUGAUGUUUACAUCAUAAAGUUAUAUAUAAUAUUUCCUCAAGACAUUCUGACUACAAAAACACGAUUAUUUUAUUUGUCAUUUGGUAAUAAUAUAGCCUUACGCAUCCGCGAGCGAGAGACGCGACGCAAACGCGCCACUGGAAAGUUCUCCACGAAUCACAUCACGCGGCGACGAGGGCCUUGCCUUCUGAUUGGUCACGGGCUGGUGACGUAGGAGUCCAGACGCGUCGCGUACAGUAGUCUAGGUUGAUUCGCGUCCAGUCAGACGUGAAGGCAGCCGCGGAAGUAUCGGCUUUCAGUUCAACAUGGCUUCAAGUGCGACGAGCUGAGGAAAACCAGGGCUAUUUUCUAUUUCACCACUCCCGAGGCGACAAACGAGGGAAAAGACUUGGGAAAUAUAUUCAAGAGCCGCUUUUAUUCAAGUCAUGGUGAGAAGACACUGACCAGGUCGCUCAGGUUUACACAGUGUGGGCUUCGGCCAUCAUGAACAAGACUGCAGUCUGAUGCCAUCGCUCUCCAUUCCGCCUGCCAUGGACGGGCACAUCUUUUCACAUUCGGACGGACCUCAACUGGAUGCCGGGGGGUUCAUCCAUGCACCCCCUGUGAGCCAUGUGUUUGCCAACAACCCUUGGAGCUUCCCCCAUCAGACCUACAGCUUGCCCUGUCCUGUGCAAUCUGAAAACCAUAAUGAUACUGUCACACUACACAUGAAAGCCAGGAAUGAGGAGAUGAGGAAUUCACGAAACUAGAGUCUUUAAUAAUCCAAAUGGGGGACAUAGAGCACAUGGAAGACUUUCAAGAACCGACAAACACAAACUGAAAGGACUAGGGCUUAUAAAGACAGGAUAAUCGGGGAAACACAGGUGCAUGGAAUAACUAAUUAACAGGGACACGGAACACAUGUGGAGGGAAAACACAACAUAAUGAGUCCAGGGGCUCAGGAGGAGGGCGGAUAUCUGGGAGGGGGCCGGCAGACAAAGUCCAGGGAGGAGACGACAGAGGGAGGAGCCAGGGAGGAGACAGGAGGAGCUUGGAGCAGGAGGAGUCCAGCCAGACCCAGACCACAGCCAUGAUGUUGACCCACGGUGGAGCCAACAGAGGGAGGUGCCAUGGAGGAAGAAUGGCCGCCGACUCCAGGAGGGCAGCGGAGCAGGUGGAGGAGGAGCCUGAGGUGGAGGUGAUGGAUCGAUGGUUGACAGUGUAGGCGAGGGCGCUAGGAACCGUGGUGAAGCCGCUGGGUCUACGGGCCAAGGCGGAGUCCAGGCCUCGGAGGCUGGAGGUGAGGGAGACUCCAACCAGGGCGACGCUGUAGGAUGGCAGUCCUGCAGGGCUCG
rnacentral:lncRNA from 12 species